UCCAGUCACUAAUUUACAGAAUAGAUUAUCAAGUUUCAAAAUUUUAUUUUGCUAAAAGAACUUGUCAAUUACAGUUGAAGCUCAAUUUACAGAAAUAUUUAUAAUAUGCUUAACCCUUAAUUUUAAAAUCUACAAAAUAAGAUUUUCAUACAAUCGAAAUAUUUUUCUAAAUUAUCUUACGAAAAACUAAUGGGUGUCCGGUCGCUUACCUCAAAAGCAGCUUCGUAGCUAAUAAGCUAUCCGAUCGACAAACGUACGAAAAAUCAAUUAUCGGAACCUAAAAUAGAGAAAUACAAUUCUCUAUUAGCUACUCAAAAUAAAAUUACAAGGAGGACACAUAU
rnacentral:lncRNA from 1 species